rnacentral:rRNA from 1 species
CGCGGCCUAUCAGCUUGUUGGUGGGGUAAUGGCCUACCAAGGCGACGACGGGUAGCCGGCCUGAGAGGGCGACCGGCCACACUGGGACUGAGACACGGCCCAGACUCCUACGGGAGGCAGCAGUGGGGAAUAUUGCACAAUGGGCGAAAGCCUGAUGCAGCGACGCCGCGUGAGGGAUGACGGCCUUCGGGUUGUAAACCUCUUUCAGCAGGGACGAAGCGUAAGUGACGGUACCUGCAGAAGAAGCGCCGGCCGACUACGUGCCAGCAGCCGCGGUAAGACGUAGGGCGCGAGCGUUGUCCGGAUUUAUUGGGCGUAAAGAGCUCGUAGGCGGCUUGUCGCGUCGACUGUGAAAACCCGCAGCUCAACUGCGGGCCUGCAGUCGAUACGGGCAGGCUAGAGUUCGGUAGGGGAGACUGGAAUUCCUGGUGUAGCGGUGGAAUGCGCAGAUAUCAGGAGGAACACCGGUGGCGAAGGCGGGUCUCUGGGCCGAUACUGACGCUGAGGAGCGAAAGCGUGGGGAGCGAACAGGAUUAGAUACCCUGGUAGUCCACGCUGUAAACGUUGGGCGCUAGGUGUGGGGGACCUCUCCGGUUCUCUGUGCCGCAGCUAACGCAUUAAGCGCCCCGCCUGGGGAGUACAAUCGUCGACC